UAUUAAAUUUACUAAUUCCUUACCUUAUUAUCUACCUCUUACAAUGUCGGACCGACAGUUUAUCGAUGAUUUUGCCGAGACCGAUCCCGCCGAAUUCGAAAAAAGACAUCAACACAUGCAAUGAGCAAGAGUUCCUCAUCAUCUUGGUAAUCAUAUUGGCCAUCUAUACGACUUACCACGGCAAAUCUCACACCCCAACUAAAAAGCGCCUCCCCGAUAGGUCAAACUCCGUCCUUACUAGUUUUCUUAAAGUGCACGAAUACCUAGAGCACAGAGGUCGAUCAAUGGGACAUCAUCUCGGGGUCGGCCUAGAGGUCUUUAUGCUUCUAUUGCGCGGGUUUGAAGAACAUGGGAUACAGCUUGCUUCACAUGAUGCUACGGCAGCAGAGCGCAUUGCUAUUGCUUUAUCUUAUUUGCGGAAGAGCUUGUCAAUUAACUGGAUAGGCGAGGAGUUUAAAAAAAGCAAUGAGUUUGUUCUCUUCUGUAUCCAUGAUGUGAUAAAUGCUCUCACUUCUAAAGUCAUUUAUGACCGCGGCGUGAAGUAUCCCACAGGUGGAGAGCCGCCAAUCGCCAAGGUCGCCACUCCUCUUCAAAAAGCCUGGGGGAGGGCAUUGUAUACCGGCUCGAGUCAUACUUAGCAAGACCGCGCAGAUGGGUAUCCUAAGAGCUUUACAUGACGAAGGUGGCCAUCGUGGUGAACGGGGUACCUACAUGAGGAUAAGGGACAGAUUCUAUUGGCCGGGAAUGGCCAGAGACAUUGAAGGCUAUGUUCGGUCAUGUGUACCGUGUCAACGGCGAGAUUAUCGCUUUUACGGGUCGCCGAAGGCCAGCCCAGAUCCUCCUACAAUCCUUUACAAGUGGGAUAUUGACUGCAUUAGUAUGGGCAAAGAUACUAAAGACACCAACCAGCCGCAAAUCAUAGUGAUUGCGGGAGAAAAUACCACCGGAUGGGUGGAAGCCAAAGCCUUGCGCUCGACAACAGCUAGCGAAGUAGCUAAGUUCUUUUAUGAGGACAUUAUCUCCAGAUACUGCACCAUGGUCUGUGUCACCACGGACGGGGGCUCGGAGUUUAAAGGAGACUUCCACAAACUCCUACAGAGGUUCCAGGUGAAGCAUAUUGUCACCAGUUCUUAUAAUCCAGCUGCAAAUGGAGUUGUCGAACGAGGCAAUCGGCCUGUUAAAGAAGCGAUCUUCAAGAGAUGUCCGAAGGGACAGGUUAAUCGAUGGCCGGACUAUCUGCACUAUGCACUCUGAGCCGAUCGAACCACCGUUAGAGCAUCUACCAGAUAUACUCCUCACUAUCUCAUGUUCGGGCAGGAAGCAGUCCUUCCGAUCGACUUUACUGAAGAAAGCAUACUCAUGGCUAAUUGGGAGAAGAUUCGAACUCCUGCUGAGCUUCUGGAAGCUAGAAUGAUUCAGAUCGAGAAUCGGGAAGCCGACAAGGCUGUAGCUAGAGAGCGAGUAAAGGCUUCAAGGGAAGCUAGUGUGGCAUAUCACAAUGACAGGUUCAGUGAUAGGCAACAAGACCGAGACUUCAGAUCGGGCGAUUUAGUCUUAGUCCGAAACUCUCAGCAGGACAAUGGCCGAGGAGUUCAGAAAGAGCCCAGGCUGACCAGAGCCCUAGUUAUUAUCGCAAUGAUGAUGGUGGUUACGACUCAGACGACAACUACCGUUACGAGAAGACGCCAGAACCCGCCUCAGACCACCGAGAGCAAUGUUACUGGUGUGGCAGUAGCCACAGCAACGACUGUCUCUUUGCAGACUGGAUCGCCCGACACCACAAGAUUGUGGGUAAAAACCUUUACCGUUAUUCGCACCCAGACGGUGCUUGGCGAAAGGUCACUGGAGUCCAUAAUGGCAAGUCUCUUGGCCCCGAGCAGGCGUGGAUGCGCUUUGAGCUGGUGGAAGCCCAGGAGCACCCAGAGCUCGUUCGGUAUCGUUACUGGUACGCUCACCGAGAUUCUCCUCAGGAAGCGGUCAGGAAAGCUAAGGCUUGGGCCGCCGAAUACAGGAAGAAGGCGAUGAUCCAUUGAAUCGAUACCGACAUUUUCAUGGCGCUGUCGGAUCAGUUGAUGGAACCCACAUUGCUGUGAAAGUUUUACCGAGGAUGCAGCCACCUACCGCAACAGGAAGGGUGUUGUACCGAUUAACGUGCUUGCUGCGUGUGACUUCGACUUGACGUUCACGUAUGUCAUUGCUGGUUGGGAGGGGAGUGCAAACGACUCCUUUACCUUCAGUCAGGCUGUUGAUCGAUACAACUUCCCCCAGCUCCCUUCUAAUCGCUAAUUCCUGACUGAUGCUGGCUUCCCCAUAUGCGAUCAGCUGCUGACGCCGUACCAUGGCACCCGAUAUCACCUGGCGGACUUCCAUUCAAGCCGCGGCGCCCCCCAAUUUGAGAAAGAAGUAUACAAUCUCGUGCACGCCCAACUGCGUAAUAGCGUGGAGAAAAUCUUCGGAACACGAAACAGACCUGAGCCCCCUAAUCCCCUAACAUCCAACAAAACCUGCGCCAUCUCCAACGCAGUCUUAGGACCGACGGCCUGAAGGCCUACUGGGAGAGGAUGGACCAGGAAUUGUGGGACGAGGUGCAGAGGAUGAGGACGAGGCAGAUAGAGGGAUCCGAGGUGUCACGACGCUAUGCAGAAGUGACACCCGAAACCUCCACCUCUCUCUGCCGCCGAACCAAAGUACCUCCACCUCCGACGACCGCGGCCGAUCGU
rnacentral:sRNA from 1 species